CAGGAGAGUAGAGGAGAGGUAGAGGUAGAAGAGAGGACAGGAGAAGAGAGGACAGGAAAGGAUAGGUAGAGGAGAAGAGAGGACAGGAGAAGAGUGGACAGGAAAGGAUAGGUAGAGGAGAAGAGAGGACAGGAGAGGAGAGGUAGAGGUAGAGGAGAAGAGAGGAAAGGAGAGGAGAGGUAGAGGUAGAGGAGAAGAGAGGACAGGAGAGGAGAGGUAGAGGUAGAGGAGAAGAGAGGACAGGAGAAGAGAGGAGAGGAGAGGAGAGGACAGGAGAGGUAGAGGAGAAGAGAGGACAGGAGAGUAGAGGAGAGGUAGAUGUAGAAGAGAGGACAGGAGAAGAGAGGACAGGAGAGGAGAGGACAGGAGAGGAGAGGAGAGGA
rnacentral:lncRNA from 1 species